rnacentral:rRNA from 2 species
CUUCUGAAAUGUUGACCUCGGA